CCUACGGGAGGCAGCAGUGAGGAAUAUUGGUCAAUGGGAGAGAUCCUGAACCAGCCAAGCCGCGUGAGGGAAGACGGCCCUAUGGGUUGUAAACCUCUUUUGUCGGAGAACAAAACCCGGGACGUGUCCCGGACUGCGUGUAUCCGAAGAAAAAGCAUCGGCUAACUCCGUGCCAGCAGCCGCGGUAAUACGGAGGAUGCGAGCGUUAUCCGGAUUUAUUGGGUUUAAAGGGUGCGUAGGCGGUCCGUUAAGUCAGCGGGAAAAUUGCGGGGCUGAACCAUGAGAGUGCGGCGCGAACUGGAGACCUUGAGUGCGCGGAAGGCAGGCGGAAUUCGUGGUGUAGCGGUGAAAUGCUUAGAUAGCACGAAGAACCCCGAUUGCGAAGGCAGCCUGCCGCAGCGUUACUGACGUUGAGGCACGAAAGCGUGGGGAGCAAACAGGAUUAGAUACCCUUGUAGUC
rnacentral:rRNA from 1 species